UCCCUGAGACCCUAACUCGUGA
rnacentral:ncRNA from 7 species